GGGUAAGAGGGAGAGAGAGAUGAGGGUAAGAGUAGAGAGGGAGAGAGAGAUGAGGGUAAGAAGAGAGAGGGAGAGAGAAUGAGGGUAAGAGUAGAGAGAGAGAGAUGAGGGUAAGAGGAGAGAGAUGAGGGUAAGAGUAAAGAGAGAGAGAGAGAUGAGGGUAAGAGUAAAGAGAGAGAGAGAAUGAGGGUAAGAGUAAAGAGAGAGAGAGAUGAGGGUAAGAAGAGAGAGAUGAGGGUAAGAGUAAAGAGAGAGAGAGAAUGAGGGUAAGAGUAGAGUGAGAGAGAGAUGAGGAGAGAGGGAGAGAGAGAUGAGGGUAAGAGUAAAGAGAGAGAGAAUGAGGGUAAGAGUAAAGAGAGAGAGAGAGAGAGAGAAUGAGGGUAAGAGUAUAGAGAGAGAGAGAAUGAGGGUAAGAGUAUAGAGAGAGAGAGAUGAGGGAAAGAGUAGAGGGAGAGAGAGAGAAAAUAAUACUGAAUUAUAGAAGAGAACUGGGAUCUCUUAACACACACACAGAGACCUUGAGACUUACUCACGUGACAUGAGUUAUGUGUGCUCUCCACCCACUGCCAUGUGUGCUGUCUAUUAGAGCUGUCUGGUGUGGGCCAGUCUGUUUAAUAUAUCUCCUCGAAGACCUUUACACACAUCACACAUACUGCAUGCCCACAUUGACAUUUACAUGAAUCACACUCAUCACACUCAAACAUUCCACAUUUACGAGGUGAAAACCAACCCCAAAUAUUACACAUACCAGUACAUGAUAUAAAUUCUAGAAACAUUACAUAGAUUACAUUGCACCCAGACUCAUACAAUCAUAUUUCCAUUAGCAUGGCCAGGCAAAACAGAACAGCUUAUCAGACAUAAACGGCCUCUUUCCCCAAUAACACAACAACUUCCCCUCUUUCUCUCGCUGUCCUCCUUCCUCUCUCUCUCUCUCUCUCUCUCUCUCUCUCACCUUCCCCUCUGACCCAACUACAAGUUCUCCUUCCCCUCCCAUCUUCCUCUCUCCCUCCCAACGGCUGUUUUCAUCCUUCUUUUCCCUCUCUAAAUGGUGGUGUGAGGUUAAAUCCAGAGGAGGCUGGUGGGAGGAGCUUUGGUGUGACGGGCUCAUUGUAAUGGCUGUAUUGGAAUCGAUGGAACGAUAUCAAACACAUCAAACAUUUGGAAACCACACGUUUGACUCGGUUCCACUUAUUCCUUUCCAGCCAUUACAAUUAAGCCAUCCUCCUAUAGCUCCCCCCACCAGCCUCCUCUGGAUACAUCAGAGCCUAACGACAAACCUCCCUCCUCCCACCACCAGCACCACAUGUGACACACACUCACUCACUCUGUCCUCAGGACACAUACAGUGAGCGAGAACAGGGAGAUAAGAUGGAGAGAGAGACUAAGGGAUGGUGAUAGAGAGAAGGAGAGAGAGUAAGGGAUAGUGAUAGAGAGAAUGAGAGAGAGUAAGGGAUAGUGAUAGAGAGAAGGAGAGAGAGUAAGGGAUAGUGAUAGAGAGAAGGAGAGAGAGUAAGGGAUAGUGAUAGCGAGAAGGAGAGAGAGUAAGGGAUGGUGAUAGAGAGAAGAAGAGAGAGUAAGGGAUAGUGAUAGAGAGAAGGAGAGAGAGUAAGGGAUGGUGAUAGAGAGAAGAAGAGAGAGUAAGGGAUAGUGAUAGAGAGAAGGAGAGAGAGUAAUGGAUAGUGAUAGAGAGUAAGGGAUGGUGAUAGAGAGAAGGAGAGAGAGUAAUGGAUAGUGAUAGAGAGAAGGAGAGAGAGUAAGGGAUAGUGAUAGAGAGAAGGAGAGAGAGUAAGGGAUAGUGAUAGAGAGAAGGAGAGAGAGUAAGGGAUAGUGAUAGAGAGAAGGAGAGAGAGUAAGGGAUAGUGAUAGAGAGAAGGAGAGAG
ensembl:lncRNA